GACGAACGCUGGCGGCGUGCCUAAUACAUGCAAGUUGAGCGCUGAAGGUUGGUACUUGUACCGACUGGAUGAGCAGCGAACGGGUGAGUAACGCGUGGGGAAUCUGCCUUUGAGCGGGGGACAACAUUUGGAAACGAAUGCUAAUACCGCAUAAAAACUUUAAACACAAGUUUUAAGUUUGAAAGAUGCAAUUGCAUCACUCAAAGAUGAUCCCGCGUUGUAUUAGCUAGUUGGUGAGGUAAAGGCUCACCAAGGCGAUGAUACAUAGCCGACCUGAGAGGGUGAUCGGCCACAUUGGGACUGAGACACGGCCCAAACUCCUACGGGAGGCAGCAGUAGGGGAUCUUCGGCAAUAGACGAAAGUCUGACCGAGCAACGCCGCGUGAGUGAAGAAGGUUUUCGGAUCGUAAAACUCUGUUGGUAGAGAAGAACGUUGGUGAGAGUGGAAAGCUCAUCAAGUGACGGUAACUACCCAGAAAGGGACGGCUAACUACGUG
rnacentral:rRNA from 1 species